GCGGAGCACAGCCUCCGGACACGCAGGCCCAGCCGCUUUGCAGUAUGUGGGAUCCUCCCGGACCGGGGCACGAACCGGUGUCCCCUGCAUCAGCAGGCGACUCUCAACCACUGCACCACCAGGGAAACCCUUCACAUUAGUUUUGAGUCCUUUUCUUCUUUCUAGAAAGGGUGAUUUGUAAAUGUGUGCUUUAAUCACUUUCAUUGUUUGCUGGAAAACAAUGGAAAAUCUUUUGUAAAAGGAGCUGUUUCUCCCCAGAAGAGGUGAAAACUUUCCAUGUGUCAGUUAGUCUUACCUGCUCCUUAAAAUCUAGGCAAGAUUUGCUCUGCCCCUAAAACAUAAUUUCACACUCUAUGGAAAGCCAGUGAACUAACUCACUCAUUUGAUAGGUAUUUAUUGAAUACCUAUGAUGCACUAGGCACUGCUUUCUGUUCUGGUUUCUACAAAUUCUUGGUAGGGGAAGAGAUGGUAGGAAAUGAUAGGGUAAUUUUUGAUUUCAUGGUUACCUGAGUCUAGCUGAUUCUUUUGUAUUCAGCAUUACAAAGCAGUUGGUCUGAAAUCUGUUCUUUGAUCUCCAUCAUGGUUUGGAUUAAAAUACGGGAAAAGCCCCAAGCCACCUUGAGUGCAAGAAGAAAUUACCCCAUUGUACUACAUAGUAAACAACUAGCAUGUUACAGUUAACCCUUGAACAAUGCAAGGGUUAGAGGUGGUGACCCUCUGCACAGUCAAAUCCGAGAAUAACUUAUAGUCUGCCCUCAGUGUACGUGGUUCCACAUCUGCAGAUUCAACCAAUGAUGGAUCCUGUAGUACUGAAGUAUUAACUACUGAAAAAAAUCCACGCGUGGAUGGACCCACACAGUUCAAAUCCAUGUUGUUCAAGGGUCAACUGUGUAUAUAUCAAUAAAUCAUUUUUUUGGACCCUCCCAAUAUCAGGGAUUUCACAGUGGCUGUGCCUCCGACAAUGGCCGUCUCAGCCCCUGGCCAUCUUGUUAUAGAUUGUCGUCCCUUCUCCCCCACCCCCAUCUUUUCUACUCCCUCCAGCCGUACACAUAACCUGGUAAACUCAGAAUUCUUUUAUAGUAAUAGAGUGAUUUAUCUCUCUCCAGCCUUUACCGCCAGACUCAGCUCAAGGCCUGUCUUGACCUUUCUAGAACCCAUUAGGGUGCUCAGCCGAAUAUAAGUUACCUCCAGUCUUUUUGUUGCCUUUAACAUGCCCCACUUUCCUAAGAAAGUUAGUAGGAGAAAUAUUUUUCCUUCCACAUUUUCACUUUCCUCUCCCAAGAUGCUCUAUGUCUGCGGCUUGAAGCCAAAUUCUGCAGAGUGAGAGACUAUAGUGUACUGUCCAAGGCAUUCUGUACUCCUUUUUUUAAAAUUUUAUUUAUUUUAUUUAUUUAUUUAUUUAUUUAUUUUGCCUGUGUUGGGUCUUCGUUGCUGUGUGCAGGCUUUCCUCUAGUUGCAGUGAGCAGGGGCUACUCUUCGUUGUGGUACGCAGGCUUGUCAUUGUGGUGGCUUCUUUUGUUGCGGAGCACGGGCUCUAGGUGCGCGGGCUUCAGUAGUUGUGGCACACGGGCUUCAGUAGUUGUGGCGCACGGGCUUCGUUCCUCCGCGGCAUGUGGGAUCUUCCUGGACCAGGGCUCGAACCCGUGUCCCCUGCAUUGACAGGUGGAUUCUUAACCACUGCACCACCAGGGAAACCCCUGUACUCCUUUUUUUAAAGUGUCAGUCUCAGUGGGAUCAUGAAGCAGAAACUAUAGAAGGCUUUGGUUAGAAAUGGAGCUUCUGCAAAAUGCUUUCAGAGAUUCACCCCCAAAGUAUGUUUUAUAGAACACUAGUUCCUUGGCCUACCAAUAGGUGUUGAGUUAAAAUGAUUGGUAAUCUUUAGAUCGGUAUUUCACAGAAUAUAAAUAUAUACUAUAACCUCACAAAUCUUACUUUCUUCAGGUGCCAUUAUUUUGGGUGAAAUAUUUCUACCACUGUCAUUGAAAUUGGUCUUUGAAAAGCCAGCUGGGUCCUAUAAGGUGCCCUGAAAUGGUCCUUUGUAGGUCAGAUCAGGGUGAGAGCCUGGUCGUUAUCUGGAUACAAAGAAGGUUUCUUUUGUUUAAAUAUCCUUGGUGCUGAUCUAAUCUGUGUUAGAUGUCAGGAUAAUGACUACCCUUUGAGGAGGGGAGCAGAUAGAGACAAAAGGAACAUGAAGGAGGUAUCUGGGUACUGAUAGUAAUCAAUUUUUUGAUUUGGGUGCCGGUUAUAAUCUUCACUUGGUGAAAAUUCAUCAUACCGAAUGCUUGUGAUUUCUGCUCUUCCCUGUAUGUAUGUUAUACUUCAUUAAAAGUUUACUUUAAAAAUAUCCUGUGCAUUGAGCAAUUUUUUUGAGCAAUUUUAAUAUUGGAUUUUUGUCAGAUACUUUUUCUCAAAUAAUACCAUGAUGAAAACUAUUCCUGGAUGGUAAAUCCAUGCAGGUUAAAUUGACUACAGACCAGUUAAACUCUGCAAGAAAGUUAUUACUGAAAUUACUAGUUGGCUGUGUUGUUAUAUAUCACUUUAAAAAAGAUUACCUCUAGGGAAUUCCCUGGCGGUCCAGUGGUUAGGACUCAGCGCUUUCACUGCCGGGGGCCCAGGUCCACUCCCUGGUUGGGGAACUAAGAUCCCAAAUGCCAAAAAUAAAUAAAUAAACAAACAAACAAAUAAAUAAAUAAGAUUACCUAUAAAUUCUAAGAGAUUGUUUCCUGAAUGGUAGCCAUUUAUCUGCUUAAAAACUAAGUGCUUUUGAGACUCAUUUUCUUCUUUGACUUCAUCCAAGAGGGCAGAUGAUUUCAAUAUCCUGGAUAAGCACUUACUUUGUACACAAUGGUAUCAGUCAUUCCAGAAUGGAGUUUCACAGAACCACGAUGCCAGUCUAAUUCUCAUUCUUUUAGUAGAUAAUCUUUUUUUUUCCUCUCUGAAACCUUCAAAUAUCUCCUCCUAUGUUCUGAAAUUUCACAAAGUUGUACCUUUUUGUAGGUUAUUUUUCAUUAUUCAUUGCUCAGUAUCAGGUGAACCUUCUCAAUCUAAAAAUACAUCCUUUAGGGAUGUCCCUGGCAGUCCAGUGGUUAAGACUCCACGCUUCCAAUGCAGGGGGCGAGGGUUCAAUCCCUGGUUGGGAAACUAAGAUCCCACAUGCUAUGCAGCAUGGCCAUAAAAAAAGUUAAAAAUAUGUCCUUUAGCUGGAAAGUUUUCUUCUGCUAUUUCUUUACUUCCUCCCCCUCUUAUUUCUUUAUUGAUUUUCAUGGCAUUUCUGUUGGUUGGCUAUUGGACCACCGUGACUCAAUUUUCUCUCAUAUUUUCUGAUUUUUUUCCAUUGCUUUCUGACAGAUAUCCUUGAAUUUAUUUUGUAGACCUUUUGAUGAACUUAUCCACAGUCAUAUUUUUAAUUUCCAAGAAACUAUCUCGUUCUCUGACCUCUGCUCUAUCAUAGUAGCUUAUUUUUGUUUUACAGAUGCAAGAACUUAUCAAAUAUCUAUUGCGUUACUUACUAGAAUCAGAACUCCUUUUUGUUCCCUGAAUUAUGAUUAUCUCUAUUCAUCUUGAUCCUACUUUUUUAUGUUAUUGAUUUUCCCAAAAUGCCGGUAAGUGUUGGUUGUCCAUUCAUAUUUAUGAAAAAGUGUGGAUAGAUUACUGUAGAAAACUGGCAUGGGCUUGUUUGUGGUUGCUUUCUCCACAGGUCUUUGCCUGGAUGGAAGGACUGACUUCAAGCCCUCUAUACUCUGAGCAGGGCCAGUCCCAGUUGCGGCUCCAGGCCUCCUUAGUUGCAGCAGGUGGCCUCCUUAGUUGUGGCAUGCAAACUCUUAGUUGCAGCAUGCAUGUAGGAUCUAGUUCCCUGACCAGGGAUCGAACCCGGGCCCCCUGCAUUGGGAGCGUGGAGUCUUAUCCACUGCGCCACCAGGGAAGUCCCCAGAAAACUGUUUUCUUAAUUGAACGUGUGUUCCCACAGGUAUGUCCAACUAGCAGACUUUAAUGUCCUCAUUAUGUAUGUUAUCUAAGCAUCUACCCUGGGUCCUUAAAAUAUAAGAAGUUAACUUUGAGGCUACAUCUCUGUAUAAGAGAAAGAACUUGCACAGUGAAGAUCAGUGUAGAGGGUUGGCAUUUCUGGUUACUGAGGUCUCUAAAACUGGUUUCCCAGAGCAUCUCUGUGCUUGUACAUAUCUGGAAAACAAUUCUUCAUUGUGAAUUUUUUGGCCAUAAAAAAUGCCAUUAUACAUGGUUCUGCUUACUACCAGUAAUAAUGUCUUAAUCCUCAAGGAAGAUUUUCCUAGGUAUACUAUGAGAUAGAAUAUAAUAUUGGUAUGUUUUUUAAUGAGCACACAAAAAUUUGCAUUUUGAAUGAAUUAUAACACUUGUGGUAUGUGAGCUGCUUGGAGUAUUUCUUUUUCUCCAUUAGAUUUGUGUUGGCAGACAAAUUUGAGAAGCUGAGUUUUAGAGGUAGUGUCCAGAUGAUCUCCAUUCCACUAUAGAACAACCAGCAAUAAUAAACUGUACAUUGUUUGACAGUUUAUAAACUAUUUUUUAUACCCUUUCAUUUUUAUAUUUAUAUUUUCAACUGUAUUCCCCUUGAUCUUAUAGACCCCAUUUUAUAUACAAUCUAAAUUCUAAGAGUAAAGUUUAAAAGUGUCGUAAGACAAGGUUUAGGUCCUUAUUGACAUUGGAAGUCCACGACUAGAUUCUUCAUUGAGACCCAAGGGGUUAGGCUAGGUUGUGGACUCAGCACCUGAUACUAGGCCUGGUAUUUAAACUGUAUCUUUUUGCAGCUAAAAUUACUUAAGCUCAUUAGACAUUAAACUGAGGUAUGUGGCCUUGCAAUUCAAAUCAGCCUUAAUCUUCAUUUAAAAGGGAGUAAUUAUUGUUUCUUAACCUCUGUUAAUGUAGAGGAACUACAUUGUGUUGAUAAUGCAGACUUUGUAUUAUAGAACACAUUAUAUAAUAAGAGCUUAGUACAUGUUUGUUGAAUUAAAUAAUCAGGACCUCAGUAAUUUUCUUUCUUUCAUCAUUUUAAGCAACGUAGUUAUCUUAUGAAUGGCUUCUUCUAAUUCAUUAACUGAUAUAAAAAUUAUUACCCUAAAUGAUGAAAGAAGAUUAGAAUCUGGAGUUAUUGUACCAGAACUUUGUGCUUAGUCCCCUGGGUCAUUUUCUACGCCUGUAGAAAAUGACCAGAUGUGGUGGAGAUGAGCUUGUUGAAUUAAUUAAGCACCCUGUAAAUGUUAAACCACGAGAGGACCAGAGAGUUGAAGGCUCCUGGGUAAAAUACGAACAUUUCAUUAGCUUCUAGUGCAAAGAGGGUGAAGGAAUAAGUUUUAUCUCUUCUGUUAGUAAAUGUCUUGAAGGCAGGAAUCACCUUUUGAGUUUGUAUUCCUUUUUCCCCCCUUUUUAUCUGGAAAUAAUUUCAAACUUACAGAAAAGUUGCAAGAAUAACGCAAAGAACUUCAUAUACUCGAUACCCACAUUUGCCACUUGUUAACAUUUUGCCACAUACUUCAGUGUGUAUUCCUUAUAACAAGGACAUUGUCAUUUCAAAAUCAAGAAAUUUAGCAUUGUGAUACAGCACUAUUAUAUAAUAUUCCAUAUUCUAUAUGGUCCAUAUUCCAUUUUUACCUGUUGGCUCAGUAUUGUCCUUCAUAACAGUUUUUUUUCCUAGUCUAGGAUCAUGCAUUGAGUUCAGUUGUAUGUCUCUUAAGUCCUCUUUGAUCUAGAACAAUGCUCUGCCUUUCUCUGUCCUUUAUGACAUUGAUAUUUUGUACAUAUAUUGUCUUUGUUGUAGGUAGCUUUAUAUUUUUGGCACAGAAUAUCAACCAAAGAAUUUUUUAAAAAACAGUUACUGAACAUUUUUUGGGAGAGCACCUUUCAAAAAGUUUAUGUACUAUGGGAAAGAAGUGUGGUUUUUUAGGAAAAAGAACAUGUUCUUCGACUUACAGACUUAGAUUUAAAUUGCAGUUCUGCCACUUUUUACCUCUGUAGCACUGGACGUGUUACUUUAUCUCACUGACUCUCAAUUUCCUCUGCUCUGGGUCUUCCCUGGGAGUCCAGUGGUUAAGACACUGUGCUCCCAUUGCAGGGGGCAUGGGUUCGAUCCCUGGUCAGGGAACUAAGAUCUCUCAUGCCACAUGGCACGGCCC